GUGAGUCUACUGGGCUUGGUGGGCGGGCUGAUUCUGGUGGACUUGAGGAGCCCAUAGAGAUUGUUGGGCAGGAAGACUUACUGGGCCGAAGCCUGGAUGGGCUGAGUCCAAGUGAGGACGGGUUGUUGGGUCGGGUCGGGUCGGUAGGCCGAGUUUGGGUCGGGUUUGAUUAAAGACACCCGCCCCGGCAUACGCACCCAUUCCUAACCAUACUUCUCCUUUUUCUCCCAUAUUUCCCCUUGUCCCGUAAAGGCCUUCUCUCCUGUCGCUGCCCCCUUUCCUUUCUCCUAUUCCUCCUCUCCUCACUGUUCCAG
rnacentral:lncRNA from 1 species